CUUUUCCCCUUCAUUUUUUCUUCAGUUUUUUCUACCAAAACCACCAUAGUCUUCUCCCUUCCCCUCUUCUUCUUCUUCUUCUUCUUCUUCUUCUCCGGAGCAACAAGGAGGAGAAGCAUUGGAUAGGGGAUGACACGAUCUUGCCACUAGCUGCGUUUCUCCUCCUCUCGCAUUGGUCGUCUUCUAGUUCCACCGUCCACCAGCGUGCGCAGGUGAUGUAGCUUCGUCUUCCCUUCUUGGCUUGUUCCUCGCGCGGAAUGUGAUCAGUGGUUGGUUCUGUUGGAUAAUGGCUGGUACUACAUACGCGGGUAUGCAUAGAAAAACAAGUCUUGGGUCUCCACCCUCUCCCCCUCUGCCCUCUCCUACCCCAUGUGAGGUGCGUAAAUAAAAUUGAAGGGAGUGGCCGGGAGCGUGGCGGGGACCAUGGUCCGUCCCUUCGUCUCGCGACAGCAGCGCAAAACUCCAACCCAGCAAGCGGCGGCCGCCAAAGAUAAUCCGUAGCCGCGCAGGUAGUGUUAGUACAUGUGCGACUAAGAGGGGUGGUGCGCCGGCAGUGUAGUAGUUGCUGUUGUUUACCUUGGUCUGGGCAGGCUGGUCUCGCCGGAUCGCCGUCCACGUCCGGAACCCGGCGACAGACACGGCGCUCUCGGGCACAAGGACCUGCCACCAGCCGGCCGGCUUUGGUUUCUUGCUUACAAUGCUGCUUGAUCCGAGGGGAGGGGGGUGUUGGCCGGCGGUGACAGGUGCAGAGGAAGAGGGACGAUUUUGAUACUGUUCUUGGGUGGAGGGGUGCAGGGCUGAGAAGGGCGAUGGGGGCGGGGGAGGAGGAUGCGGCGGCGGCAUGGGAGAAGGUGGAGGCCAAGGAGGAGAGGAUCAUGGUGUCCGUGCGGAUGCGGCCGCUCAACGGCAGGGAGUCCGGCGACAGCUCCGACUGGGAGUGCAUCAGCCCCACCACCGUCAUGUUCCGCAGUACCGUCCCUGACCGCGCCAUGUUCCCCACCGCCUACACCUACGACAGGGUGUUUGGCCCCAAUUGCUCUACCAGGCAGGUCUACGAGGAAGGAGCAAAAGAAGUUGCUCUAUCAGUUGUCAAUGGAAUCAACUCAAGCAUAUUUGCGUAUGGGCAGACAAGCAGCGGAAAGACUUACACAAUGACUGGAAUUACUGAGUACAGUGUCAUGGACAUCUAUGACUACAUAGAGAAGCACCCUGAAAGAGAAUUCAUGCUGAAAUUCUCGGCAAUAGAGAUAUACAAUGAAGCUGUGAGGGAUCUUCUGAGCCAUGAUACGACACCUCUUAGACUGCUUGAUGAUCCAGAGAAAGGGACUACUGUUGAAAAGCUCACUGAGGAAACAUUGAGGGACAAGGACCAUCUUAGGGAUCUUCUUGGAAUGUGUGAAGCUCAAAGACAGAUUGGAGAAACAGCUUUGAACGAAGCGAGUUCUAGGUCCCAUCAAAUACUCAGGCUGACAAUCGAAAGUUCUGUUAAACAGUAUUUAGGAAAAGGCAAAUCGAGCACCCUGGUGUCUUGUGUGAACUUUGUUGACUUAGCUGGAAGUGAGCGAGCAUCUCAGACUGCUUCAGCUGGUAUGAGGUUAAAAGAAGGUAGUCAUAUUAAUCGAAGUCUGCUAACACUGGGAAAGGUUGUUCGCCAACUCAGCAAGGGAAGAAACGGGCAUAUCCCAUACAGAGAUUCAAAGCUGACACGCAUAUUACAGUCCUCUUUGGGAGGCAAUGCAAGAACAGCCAUUGUCUGCACCAUGAGCCCAGCACACACUCAUAUUGAGCAAUCCAGGAACACACUUCUGUUUGCGACUUGCGCAAAGGAGGUAGUUACAAAUGCACAGGUCAAUGUAGUGAUGUCUGACAAAGCACUAUUGAAGCAUCUACAAAGAGAGCUUGCAAGAUUAGAAAAUGAACUGAAAUUGCCGGAGUCAGCCUCUUGCACAAGUCAUGUUGAAGCUUUAAGAGAGAAGGAUGCACAGAUUAAAAAGCUGGAAAAACAGCUUAGGGAAUUGAUAGAAGAAAAGGAUACUGUUCAGUCUCAACUUAACUGUUUACUGAAAAGUGAUGCUGACGACCAUGCCAAUGAUCGCGCUGCAAAGCGAUGGGAUGUCCGUAGUCGGUCCUCAGAGUCUCUUGCGCGAAAUGCAUCGGAGGAAGCACUUUCGGUUUCAGACACUUAUGGAGGUUCUUAUCAAGAUCAAGGUCACGCAGUGUUUGAUGAAUCAUAUGUCUUCAGUGCUGAUCAUGAUGACUUGUCAAUCCCCAAUCAAACAAUAGAUCUUCCUCAGCAAACAAGGGUUCGGAAGCCAAUUUCACCUUGGCACCCUCCUAGUAACUAUAGCUCUGAUGGCACAGAGUCAUAUAACAUGAAGGAAGUAGCUUUCAGAAGUGCAUCUGAAGUAUCUGAAGAACAUUGUAGGGAAGUACAAUGCAUAGAGGUACAUGAGCAUAGAAGAAGCACAAGCGAGGAAUUUAAUGUAUUACUCCAUGAGGGCACUAAGCUCCACAUACCUGAAGUAGAGGACAUCUCUAGAGACGCAUUCCCGCAACCUGAUGAAGUACCAGAAGCCGUGAGCAUAACAGAGAAAAUGGAAGAUCGUAUCAAGAUAUACCCUAGCAAAGAGGAGCGGCAGGCCGAGAUCAUAGCAAAUGCAGUAGAAGGUCCUAUUGAAGUGCAUCAAUGUGAAUCUGAUGACUUUGCAGACAACUUUGUCAAACUGUACCCAUGCGAUUCUAACAUUUCUUUGGACGUUGGCAAACCUUACCCUCAUGAAUGUCUGACUGUAAAGAGGUGUAUAACGAGCUCCAAGGAUAGUGCAUUGGCUAGAAGUCAGAGUUGCAGGGCUAGCUUCAUGAUCAUUCCAAAUAGUUGGUUUGAUGAUCCGGAAAACACCGGGCAGACACCACCUGGUGAAAUCUUCAGGUAUCCUCCCAGAAGGCCUGAUAAAGUUAGGAGAAGUCUGUACCAAGGAAAUGAUGAUUGCCAAAACAAUAACACUUCAGUAGACCUCUCCGCUGAUUCUGGCGAAGUAGUUUGUGAUGAAGUAGUUAAGGACACGAGUACCAGUGAUGAAGUAGUCAAGGACAUGAGCACCAGUGAUGAAGUGGUCAAGGACAUGAGCACCAGUGAUGAAGUGGUCAAGGACAUGAGCACCGGUGGUGAAGUAGCCAAGGAGUGGAGUGCCAAUGAAGCAGAACAAGAAGUUUGUGCCGGUGACAUCAGUUGUGUGACAGACCUGGAACAGAAGACAGCAAAACACCAUGAGGACCAACCUGAGGAACAUCAGGCAGAGCAGCAGAUUGUUCGAGAUGAGUGUGCAGCAGUUAAAACUGUCAAAGAUGUUGGCAUAGAUGCAGUCCCGAGUAGUGCCGAGUCUCCUUCGCGCUGGCCUAUUGAUUUUGCAAAUAGGCAGCGACAGAUCAUCGAGUUGUGGCACGACUGCAACGUGUCCCUGGUACACAGAACCUACUUCUUCCUCCUCUUCAAGGGAGAUGCUGCAGAUAGCGUCUACAUGGAAGUGGAGCACAGGAGACUGUCCUUCAUCCUGAGCUCCUUCAGCACCACCUCCGCAGGAGGCAAGCUUAAUACCGCAAUCGCAUCCAGCUUGAAGAAUAUGAAACGCGAGAGGGACAUGCUCUACAAGCAGAUGCUGAAGAAGCUCGCCAACGGGGACAAGGAGGGAAUCUACACCAGAUGGGGGAUCGAUCUGGGCUCCAAACAGCGGCGGCUUCAGCUAUCUCGCCUGGUAUGGGCGCGGGCUGACAUGGAGCAUGUCCGAGAGAGCGCCUCGCUGGUGGCGAGGCUGAUCGACCUGGUUGAGCCGGGGCAGGCUCUCAAGGAGAUGUUCGGCCUCAACUUCACGCUGGCUCCCAGAACCGAACGCCGGUCUUUCAGCCUGCUUGGCGCUUGAUCUUUGACGUAUGGAUGGAGGUAGAAGGGUUUGGUUUACGUAGUACAGGGGGUUCACUUAACAGGAGGAGAGGACUAUAUGCUCCGCCGCAUCUGCCUUGUUUUUGCUUGUGAAUUGUGUGCGUGUGCGUGUGCGAUAUUCCUGUGUGCAAUUUUUUUUUUGCGGGGUAAAAGGAUUGUAUUACUCAAGAGCACACGAAUUCAUCCCUACACAGACUAGGAACAUUAGCAGGUCCAGAGCGGAGCCAGACCACAGUACGGUUCUCCGUUCGACCGAAGUUUGCUAACACAUGACUAACAUUAUUUUGCUCUCUAGAGAUGUGAGUAACACAACACUCCCUUGUACCCA